rnacentral:rRNA from 1 species
GAUGAACGCUAGCUACAGGCUUAACACAUGCAAGUCGCAGGACUGGCGCACGGGUGAGUAACGCGUAUCCAACCUUCCCAUAACUACGGGAUAACCCGUUGAAAGACGGCCUAAUACCGUAUGGUUUUGGAUGGGGAUGCGUUUGAUUAGCUUGUUGGCGGGGUAACGGCCCACCAAGGCGACGAUCAGUAGGGGUUCUGAGCGGCAGGCACCCCACAUUGGAACUGCGACACGGUCCAAACUCCUAGGGGCAGCAGCAGUGAGGAAUAUUGGUCAAUGGGCGAGAGCCUGAACCAGCCAAGUAGAGUGCAGGAUGCCGGCCUAUGGGUGGUAAACUGCUUUGAUGUGAGGAUAGGUACCACAUGAAUAAGGACCGGCUAAUUCCGUGCCAGCAGCCGCGGUAAUUC